rnacentral:rRNA from 1 species
AGGGGGUUUGAUCCUGGCUCAGAACGAACGCUGGCGGCGUGCUUAAGACAUGCAAGUCGUACGGAAAGGCCCCCUUCGGGGGGUACUCGAGUGGCGCACGGGUGAGUAACGCGUGGGUAAUCUACCUUCGGGUCUGGGAUAACUUCGGGAAACUGGAGCUAAUACCGGAUAAGACCACGAAGUCCUCGGACUUUGCGGAAAAAGGUGGCCUCUUCUCGAAAGCUACCGCCUGUCGAUGUGCCCGCGUCCCAUUAGCUUGUUGGUGAGGUAACGGCUCACCAAGGCCGCGAUGGGUAGCUGGUCUGAGAGGAUGAUCAGCCACACUGGAACUGAGACACGGUCCAGACUCCUACGGGAGGCAGCAGUCGGGAAUUUUGGGCAAUGGGCGCAAGCCUGACCCAGCAACGCCGC